rnacentral:rRNA from 1 species
ACCUACGGGGGGCAGCAGUGAGGAAUAUUGGUCAAUGGCCGGAAGGCUGAACCAGCCAAGCCGCGUGAAGGACGAAGGUGCCAAGCAUUGUAAACUUCUUUUGUCAAGGGACAAAAUCAGGCUCGAGAGCCUGACCGAGGGUACUUGAAGAAAAAGCAUCGGCUAACUCCGUGCCAGCAGCCGCGGUAAUACGGAGGAUGCGAGCGCUAUCCGGAUUUAUUGGGUUUAAAGGGUGCGCAGGCGGAGGCACAAGUCAGCGGUAAAAUCGCGGGGCUCAACCCCGCUCCGCCGUUGAAACUGUGUCC